rnacentral:rRNA from 1 species
GAUGAACGCUGACAGAAUGCUUAACACAUGCAAGUCUUUGGCGAAUCUGUGCUUGCACAGGCUAGCCAAGGCGGACGGGUGAGUAACGCGUAAAGAACUUGCCCUGCAGACAGGGAUAACAGACGGAAACGACUGAUAACACCUGAUACAGUUGCCGGCACGCAUGUGCCUGGCAAUGAAAAGGGAUGCUGCAGGAGAGCUUUGCGUCCUAUUAGCUUGUUGGUGAGGUGACGGCUCACCAAGGCGAUGAUAGGUAGCCGGCCUGAGAGGGUGAACGGCCACAAGGGGACUGAGAUACGGCCCUUACUCCUACGGGAGGCAGCAGUGGGGAAUAUUGGACAAUGGGGGCAACCCUGAUCCAGCAAUUCUGUGUGCACAAAGAAGGUUUUCGGAUUGUAAAGUGCUUUCAGCAGGGAAGAAGAAAGUGACGGUACCUGCAGAAGAAGCGACGGCUAAAUACGUG